rnacentral:rRNA from 1 species
GACGAACGCUGGCGGCGCGCCUAACACAUGCAAGUCGAACGAGCGAGAGGGAGCUUGCUUCCUCAAUCGAGUGGCGAACGGGUGAGUAACGCGUGAGGAACCUGCCUCAAAGAGGGGGACAACAGUUGGAAACGACUGCUAAUACCGCAUAAGCCCACGACCCGGCAUCGGGUUGAGGGAAAAGGAGCAAUCCGCUUUGAGAUGGCCUCGCGUCCGAUUAGCUAGUUGGUGAGGUAAUGGCCCACCAAGGCAACGAUCGGUAGCCGGACUGAGAGGUUGAACGGCCACAUUGGGACUGAGACACGGCCCAGACUCCUACGGGAGGCAGCAGUGGGGAAUAUUGCACAAUGGGGGAAACCCUGAUGCAGCGACGCCGCGUGGAGGAAGAAGGUCUUCGGAUUGUAAACUCCUGU